CCUACGGGUGGCAGCAGUGGGGAAUAUUGGGCAAUGGGCGGAAGCCUGACCCAGCAACGCCGCGUGAGGGAAGGAGGGUUUCGGCUUGUAAACCCCUUUCGGCAGGGAAGAGCAGAAGACGUUACCUGCCGAAUAAGCCCGGGCUAAAUACGUGCCAGCAGCCGCGGUAAUACGUAGGGGGCAGGCGUUGUCCGGUUUUACUGGGUGAAAAGGGGGUGUAGCCGGGCGGACAAGGCAGAAGUGAAAGCCGGGGGCUCAACCCCCGAACUGCAUUUGAAACUGUUGGGCUUGAGUAUCGGAGGGGCAGGCGGAAUUCCUGGUGUAGCGGUGAAAUGCGUAGAUAUUAGGAGGAACACCAGUGGCGAAGGCGGCCUGCUGGACGGCGACUGACGGUGAGGCGCGAAAGCGUGGGGAGCAAACAGGAUUAGAUACCCCAGUAGUC
rnacentral:rRNA from 1 species